UACGGAGGGGACUAGCGUUGUUCGGAAUUACUGGGCGUAAAGCGCACGUAGGCGGAUUUGUAAGUCAGGGGUGAAAUCCCGGGGCUCAACCUCGGAACUGCCUUUGAUACUGCAAAUCUCGAGUCCGGAAGAGGUGAGUGGAAUUCCUAGUGUAGAGGUGAAAUUCGUAGAUAUCGGGAGGAACACCAGUGGCGAAGGCGACUACCUGCCUGUUCUUGACGCUGAGGCGCGAAAGCUAGGGGAGCAAACGGGG
rnacentral:rRNA from 1 species